AUUGAACGCUGGCGGCAGGCCUAACACAUGCAAGUCGAGCGGAUGAAGGGAGCUUGCUCCUGGAUUCAGCGGCGGACGGGUGAGUAAUGCCUAGGAAUCUGCCUGGUAGUGGGGGAUAACGUCCGGAAACGGGCGCUAAUACCGCAUACGUCCUGAGGGAGAAAGUGGGGGAUCUUCGGACCUCACGCUAUCAGAUGAGCCUAGGUGGGUUUAGCUAGUUGGUGGGGUAAAGGCCUACUAAGGCGACGAUCCGUAACGGGUCUGAGAGGAUGACCAGUCACACGGGACCUGAGACACGGCCCAGCCUCCAACGGGAGGCAGCAGUGGGAAAUUUUGGACAAUGGGCGAAAGCCUGAUCCAGCCAUGCCGCGUGUGUGAAGAAGGUCUUCGGAUUGUAAAGCAUUUUAAGUUGGGAGGAAGGGCAGUAAGUUAACACCUUGCUGUUUGGACGUUACCAACAGAAUAGGCACCGGCUACCUUCGU
rnacentral:rRNA from 1 species